AACGAUUGAGCGGGCAUGAAACGUCAUCAACACGCGACAUUUCGCAUUUUUUUUUCUACUAAACCGAAGGAAACUUACCUAUAUAGCCACCAAAUAUUUGACAUUUUACGUGCUACUCACGAGACUGCAAAAGACAUAUCGUCAUCUACGCCAAACAACUUCUGUGUCAAGAUGACAGGUGUGAAGUGCCCCUCCAGAGUCUUUCUAGUACUCCAAACCGCCACCAGAUGAUGAAAGUGGGGUGUACUCUUGUAAAAGCGCGGCUGCAUUCCUCAACAUCUCCUGGAGGUGGCGCACCGUCGCGGCGUGAACGUCCCUCCUCAACACCAAACCCCGAA